GAAAUGCGAUAAGUAAUGUGAAUUGCAGAAUUCAGUGAAUCAUCGAAUCUUUGAACGCACAUUGCGCCCGCCAGUAUUCUGGCGGGCAUGCCUGUUCGAGCGUCAUUUCAACCAUCAAGCCCCCCGGCUUGUGUUGGGGACCUGCGGCUGCCGCAGGCCCUGAAAAGCAGUGGCGGGCUCGCUGUCACACCGAGCGUAGUAGCAUACAUCUCGCUCUGGGCGUGCUGCGGGUUCCGGCCGUUAAACAACCUUCGUAACCCAAGGUUGACCUCGGAUCAGGUAGGAAGACCCGCUGAACUUAAGC
rnacentral:misc_RNA from 1 species